rnacentral:rRNA from 1 species
GAAAGACCCCGUGAACCUUUACUGCAGGCUCAUAUUGGUCACGAGCACAUGAUGUGCAGGAUAGGUGGGAGGCUUUGAAGCCGGUGUUCAGGCACUGGUGGAGCCGUUGGUGAGAUACCACCCUUCUUGAGUUUGUGGCCUAACUUUGAUUCCCGUGAAUCCGGGCAGAGGACAGUGUGUGUCGGGUAGUUUGACUGGGGCGGUCUCCUCCUAAAGAGUAACGGAGGAGUGCAAAGGUUGGCUCAGCACGGAUGGAAACCGUGUUUUAGAGUGCAAGAGCAUAAGCCAGCUUUACUGCGAGUCCGACAGGACGAGCAGUCUCGAAAGAGGGCUCUAGUGAUCCUGCGAUCGCGUGUGGAAGCGUCGUAGCUCAUCGGAUAAAAGGUACUCCGGGGAUAACAGGCUUAUCGCUCCCGAGCGUCCAUAGCGGCGGAGCGGUUUGGCACCUCGAUGUCGGCUCAUCGCAUCCUGGGGCUGAAGGCGGUCCCAAGGGUUAGGCUGUUCGCCUAUUAAAGCGGUACGCGAGCUGGGUUCAGAACGUCG